rnacentral:rRNA from 1 species
UUGACCUCGGAUCAGGUAGGGAUACCCGCUGAACUUAAGCAUAUCAAUAAGCGGAGGAAAAGAAACCAACAGGGAUUACCUCAGUAACGGCGAGUGAAGCGGUAACAGCUCAAAUUUGAAAGCUGCCAACAGGCCGCGUUGUAAUUUGUAGAAGCUGCUUUGGGUGUCGGCCCGGUCUAAGUUCCUUGGAACAGGACGUCAUAGAGGGUGAGAAUCCCGUAUGUGAUCGGUGCCGUUGCCCGUGUAAAGCGCUUUCGACGAGUCGAGUUGUUUGGGAAUGCAGCUCAAAAUGGGUGGUAAAUUUCAUCUAAAGCUAAAUAUUGGCCAGAGACCGAUAGCGCACAAGUAGAGUGAUCGAAAGAUGAAAAGCACUUUGGAAAGAGAGUUAAACAGUACGUGAAAUUGUUGAAAGGGAAGCGCUUGCAACCAGACUUGCGGGCGGUCGAUCAUCCGAGGUUCUCCCCGGUGCACUCGAUCGUUCUCAGGCCAGCAUCGGUUUCCGGGGUGGGAUAAAGGCGGUGGGAAUGUGGCUCUUCGGAGUGUUAUAGCCCACCGUGCAAUGCCGCCACUGGGGACCGAGGACCGCGCUUCGGCUAGGAUGCUGGCGUAAUGGUUGUAAGCGACCCGUCUUGAAACACGGACC